rnacentral:rRNA from 1 species
UGGGGAAUAUUGGACAAUGGGGGCAACCCUGAUCCAGCCAUGCCGCGUGUGUGAAGAAGGCCUUUUGGUUGUAAAGCACUUUAAGCAGUGAAGAAGACUCCAUGGUUAAUACCCAUGGACGAUGACAUUAGCUGCAGAAUAAGCACCGGCUAACUCUGUGCCAGCAGCCGCGGUAAUACAGAGGGUGCAAGCGUUAAUCGGAAUUACUGGGCGUAAAGCGAGCGUAGGUGGCUUGAUAAGUCAGAUGUGAAAGCCCCGGGCUUAACCUGGGAACGGCAUCUGAUACUGUUAGGCUAGAGUAGGUGAGAGGAAGGUAGAAUUCCAGGUGUAGCGGUGAAAUGCGUAGAGAUCUGGAGGAAUACCGAUGGCGAAGGCAGCCUUCUGGCAUCAUACUGACACUGAGGUUCGAAAGCGUGGGUAGCAAACAGGAUUAGAUACCCUGGUAGUCCACGCCGUAAACGAUGUCUACUAGUCGUUGGGUCCCUUGAGGACUUAGUGACGCAGCUAACGCAAUAAGUAGACCGCCUGGGGAGUACGGCGCGAAGGCUG